AGAGGAGGUUAUAGGGUAAUACUGCAAGUCGAGCGGCAGAUGGGAGCUUGCUCCUGAUGGUUAGCGGCGGACGGGUGAGUAACACGUGGGUAACCUGCCUGUAAGACUGGGAUAACUUCCGGGAAACCGGGCUAAUACCGGAUGCUUGUUUGAACCGCAUGUUCAAACUAAAAGGUGGCUUCGGCUACCACUUACAGAUGGACCCGCGGCGCAUUAGCUAGGUUGGUGAGGUAUUGGCUCACCAAGGCAACGAUGCGUAGCGACCUGAGAGGGUGAUCGGCCACACUGGGACUGAGACACGGCCCAGACUCCUACGGGGGGGCAGCAGUAGGGAAUCUUCCGGCAUGGACGAAAAGCUGACGGAGCAACCCCGCGUGAGUAUGGAGGGUUUCGGAUCGUAAAGCUCUGUUGUUGGGGAAGAACAAGUACCGGUCGAAUAGGGGGUACCUUUGACGGUACCUAAACAGAAAGCCACGGCUAACUACGUGCCAGCAGCCGCGGUAAUACGUAGGUGGGAAAGCGUUGUCCGGAAUUAUUGGGCGUAAAGGGCUCGCAGGCGGUUCCUUUAAGUCUGAUGUGAAAGCCCCCGGCUCAACGGGGAGGGUCAUUGGAAACUGGGGACUUGAGUGCAGAAGAGGAGAGUGGAUUCCACGUGUAGCGGUGAAAUGCGUAGAGAUGUGGAGGAACACCAGUGCGAAGCGACUCUCUGGUCUGUAACUGACGCUGAGGAGCGAAACGCUGGGGAGCGAACAGGAUUAGAUACCCUGGUAGUCAACGCCGUAAACGAUGAGUGCUAAGUGUAGGGGUUUCCGCCCCUUAGUGCUGCAGCUAACGCAUUAGCACUCCGCUGGGAGUACGUCGCAAGACUGAAACUCAAAGGAAUGACGGGGCCCGCACAGCGUGGAGCAUGUGUAUCGAGCACCGAAGACUACAGCUGACAUCUCUGACAUCUAGGAUAGACGUCCCUCGGCAGAUGACGUGGCAUGUUCGUCAGUCGUCGUGAUGUGUUAGUCGACAGCACUGACUAGUCAGAUCAGUGACCUAAGGUACUGCGGUGAAACGGAGAGUGGAUAGCGUAAAAUCUAUUGCC
rnacentral:rRNA from 1 species